CAGUAUACCCAACUCUCAAAACAUUAGUAUUUAUUAUAGAAUUUACAUUAACCUCAUAUAGUUUUUCGUGUAUUGUUACUAAAUAGUGUAGCAAUAUAUAAACCAUAUCAACAUUCUGGAAUAAUCAAUUUACCAGGAGGAUCUCUGGAGAGCAAAAGCAGGAAAGGUUUGAGGCGCCAGUGUGGACAAAAGUCAAGCAAACGCAGUGAGACUGAAUAAGCGCGCGAGAGACCAGCCAAUCAGAUUGAAGUACCUGCCCACUUGUGAAAGUAAUGUCAGAGCCAAUCAGAUUUUUCUUUCUUUUCAUAAAGAACGGGGUUCGAAUCCCACUUAGGCACUUGGGUUUUGGCCAUUUCCUGGCUGGUUUCUAGCCAUUUCCAGCCUGGUCUUAGGUGGUCAGACUGGGAGAUGACCAGCUAAAACCAGCUUGACCAGCCUAGCCAGGCUGGGAGCCCAGCCAAAACCAGCUACGUCCAGCUUAAACCAGGCUGGUCAAGCUGGUUUUAGCUGGAUUUUGCU
ensembl:processed_transcript